AUUGAACGCUGGCGGCAGGCCUAACACAUGCAAGUCGAGCGGAUGAAGGGAGCUUGCUCCUGGAUUCAGCGGCGGACGGGUGAGUAAUGCCUAGGAAUCUGCCUGGUAGUGGGGGAUAACGUCCGGAAACGGGCGCUAAUACCGCAUACGUCCUGAGGGAGAAAGUGGGGGAUCUUCGGACCUCACGCUAUCAGAUGAGCCUAGGUCGGAUUAGCUAGUUGGUGGGGUAAAGGCCUACCAAGGCGACGAUCCGUAACUGGUCUGAGAGGAUGAUCAGUCACACUGGAACUGAGACACGGUCCAGACUCCUACGGGAGGCAGCAGUGUGGAAUAUUGUACAAUGGGCGAAAGCCUGAGCCAGCCAUGCGGCGUGUGUGAAGAAGGUCUUCGGAUUGUAAAGCACUUUAAGUUGGGAGGAAGGGCAGUAAGUUAAUACCUUGCUGUUUUGACGUUACCAACAGAAUAAGCACCGGCUAACUUCGUG
rnacentral:rRNA from 1 species